rnacentral:rRNA from 1 species
AACGAACGCUGGCGGCAUGCCUAACACAUGCAAGUCGAACGAGACCUUCGGGUCUAGUGGCGCACGGGUGCGUAACGCGUGGGAACCUGCCCUUAGGUUCGGAAUAACUCCCCGAAAGGGGUGCUAAUACCGGAUAAUGUCUUCGGACCAAAGAUUUAUCGCCUUUGGAUGGGCCCGCGUUGGAUUAGCUAGUUGGUAGGGUAAAAGCCUACCAAGGCGACGAUCCAUAGCUGGUCUGAGAGGAUGAUCAGCCACACUGGGACUGAGACACGGCCCAGACUCGUACGGAAGGGAGCAGUGGGGAAUAUUGGACAAUGGGCGAAAGUCUGAUCCAGCAAUGCCGCGUGAGUGAGGAAGGCCUUAGGGUUGUAAAGCUCUUUUACCCGGGAUGAUAAUGACAGUACCGGGAGAAUAAGCUCCGGCUAACUCCGUG